CUGUCCUCAAGCUCUUUGGCAUUCUCGGAACAGUUCCACUCAGGUUGUUGUUUCCCAACUGCAGUUCCAUCAGAAUCUCGAAGCUACUGAUGCUGUCAGGUAUUGAACCACAGAAUCUGUUGCUUUGCAAACUCAGAACUGAAAGCUUGUUUAAGUUGGAAAUUGCUGGAGGUAUCUCACCAGUGAGCAAGUUCUGGCUGAGAUCAAGAGUGCUCAAAUUCCGAAACUUCAAGAGUUCAUCAGGUAUUUCUCCAGUAAGAUUGUUGUUUUG
rnacentral:lncRNA from 1 species